UACGUAGGAUGCAAGCGUUGUCCGGAUUUACUGGGCGUAAAGCGCGCGCAGGCGGCAGCUUAAGUAAGGUGUGAAAUCUCCCUGCUCAACGGGGAGGGUGCACUUUAGACUGGGCAGCUAGAGGUGGGUAGAGGGUGGUGGAAUUGCUGGUGUAGCGGUGAAAUGCGUAGAGAUCAGCAGGAACACCCGUGGCGAAGGCGGCUCUCUGGGACGGUACUGACGCUGAGACGCGAAAAGCGUGGGGAGCGAACAGG
rnacentral:rRNA from 1 species